rnacentral:misc_RNA from 1 species
AAGUCGUAACAAGGUCUCCGUAGGUGAACCUGCGGAGGGAUCAUUAACAUCAAUCUAUAUGUGUAGAUAUAAGAGGGUAGCUGUGUAUUAAUCUACUCAACUACUUUUCUUUAUCUCCUUACCACCGUGAAUCAAUCUAUACAAUCUGUUGUGUGGAGUGAGAGCUUGUCUUACAACAAGGUUCUCUCCUCACAGCACUAAUUUAUAUUUUUAUACCUCCCCUCUUAUACAUUAUAUAAUAUUUUAUAUGAUUUCUCAUUGUAUGAGCAAUUCAUAUUGAACUUAAUUGAUACCACUCCUAGCAAUGGAUAUCUUGGUUCUC